rnacentral:rRNA from 1 species
GAUGAACGCUGGCGGCGUGCUUAACACAUGCAAGUCGAACAGAAAGGCUCCUGCUUGCAGGGGUACUUGAGUGGCGAACGGGUGAGUAACACGUGGGUGAUCUGCCCUGCACUUCGGGAUAAGCCUGGGAAACUGGGUCUAAUACCGGAUAGGACCACAUUUUGGAUGGUGUGGUGGAAAGUUUUUCGGUGUGGGAUGAGCUCGCGGCCUAUCAGCUUGUUGGUGGGGUAAUGGCCUACCAAGGCGUCGACGGGUAGCCGGCCUGAGAGGGUGUACGGCCACAUUGGGACUGAGAUACGGCCCAGACUCCUACGGGAGGCAGCAGUGGGGAAUAUUGCACAAUGGGCGCAAGCCUGAUGCAGCGACGCCGCGUGGGGGAUGACGGCCUUCGGGUUGUAAACUCCUUUCGCUAGGGACGAAGCGUUUUUGUGACGGUACCUGGAGAAGAAGCACCGGCUAACUACGUG